rnacentral:Y_RNA from 1 species
GGCUGGUCCUACAGUAGUGGGUUAUCAGAACUUAUUAACAUUGGUGUCACUAAAGUUAGCAUUCAACCCCCGACUGCUAAAUUUGACUGGCUAAAA